CCCCGCUGUGAGGGACGCAGAGAGGGGUUCCAGGCCCCUCUGACUCUGACUGACUCCACCUCAGAGCAGCGCUGUCCCAGACCCGCGAAGCUGCACGGAUGGCGACGGAGCGUGGGGUCGACUCAGGCGUCCCUGCGCCUUCCCUGCCCGCGCGGGGAGCUCCGCUGCUCACCCUCCUCCUGCGCACGGCGGGCGAGCGAGCGAGCGGGCACGGAGGGGCCUCUUUACCCUCCUGAAGCAAUUUUAUGAGAAAGCACCUGAAGCCUGGUGUUGCCCAGGAGGACCAGGGCCUCACUCUGCAUUCCUGCCUGGUCCUGAACUGACUCUGCAAACCAGACUAGCCUCAAGAUCAGUUCAUCUCUGCUGCAGAGUGCUAAGAUUAAAGGCCUGCACCACCUGCCUGCCUUCUGUCAAUUUCACACAUUUAUGAAUGAAAUAAACAGAAACUUGUGGCACACGACCGCACUCUGUACUGAGGACACUGUGGCAGGAGGAUCACUGUGAGGUGUUACUGUAGUUUCUUGUCCCGCCAGGUCCCACCUCCACUUCAGCCCCAAACAAAAAAUAUUAAUUAUUAAACUGUUGACUGACGACUAGGCUUCUUAUUGGCUAGCCCUGUCUUAAUUAUUAACCUAUUUCUGUUAAUCUAUGUAUUGCCACAAGGCUGUGUCUUACCAGUAGUCUGGCAUUUGUUACUCCUUUUGCCGCAUGGUAUCUUCUCUUGGCCCUCUCUGCCUACCUUUCUCAGAAUUCUCAUCUCUUGGCCCCUCCUAUCUUCCUGCCUCCAUUGGCCAAACAGUGUUUUAUUCAUCAACCAAUAAGAAACAUUUAUACAGAAGGACACCCCCUAUCAGUGAGGUUUAGGCAAGCCUGGGUUAUAGGAGAGACCUUAUUUCAAAAGAGCAAAUGACAGAGCAUAUGCAGCCUCUGCCAUCCCACCUUUUUGGGCCAUUAGUGUCAGCCUUUGUCCUGGGAUCCAUAUGGGACUAUGGCACCCUGGCCUUUGCCCCCAAGUCCACAAUCAACUUUGAUCUCCCUGCCUGGAAUCUAUGACAGUGCUGAAGCGGCAGCCAGCAGCAGUUGAAAUGGGAUGAAGAAUCCCUGCCCAGCUGCUUUACUGCUAUGCUUUGUCGGGAAUUUUUAUUCUGUGUCCUGCUUGCAGGCCUUCCACUGAGGAUUCUUGAAACCCACACUAACACUUAACUGGCAUGCUCAAUCUGGUUCAGUAUAUGAUUUCUGCUUCAGUAAUCUACUUUCCCAGGGCUCCUCGUUUCUGCCUUAAUUUGGAAAAUAGCAGGUGGAGUCACGUGCUAACCCUGCUUACAGUCAUUGACAGCCCCUGGAUGCACUAGAGGUGCGUGUGGUAUAUUGUCACAAUCUAUAAACAAUGCUAAAAUGACUGGAAGCAGAAUUUUGAUGGGUGACUAAAGAUGGCUUUCUCUUCCCAGAUGACCCUCCUGGGGUCAUAUAUCUUCACAUGCCAGCACACUGAAUAUAAGCUUAUGGUUAAUUUACACCAUCUUACUUGUGAACAUGGGAACCAAGAUUCAAAAUUCUAUAGUGACUCUUGCUCUUUUGAGGGUGCAUUGAGUGGGUGUGCUUUGACUGCCAAGUUGUCAUCAUUAGAAAUAUUAAGUAAAACCAU